GGAGGAUUUAAAAUACAUAAAAUGCCUAUAAAGUAUAAAGAGCUAAAACAUAUUUUCAAAAUUUGGUCACGUCUAAAAAAGGCCAAUAUAAGUCAAAAUAUUCCAGAUUUAAAAAAAAUAAUAAUAUUGACCAUAUAACCUCACCAUGGCGAAAUAUUUUCUGUAUAUGAGCAACGCGUUUUAACUGAUAUGUGUGUCGCAGACCGUACAGGCAAUGAU